rnacentral:tRNA from 1 species
GCACGUUUGGCCGAGUGGUUAAGGCGCAGGAUUUAGGCUCCUGUGGGGGAGACCCCGCGUGGGUUCGAACCCCACAGCGUGCA